rnacentral:rRNA from 1 species
GAUGAACGCUGGCGGCGUGCUUAACACAUGCAAGUCGAACGAAGAUGCCGGAGUGCUUGCACUUUGGCAGACUGAGUGGCGGACGGGUGAGUAACGCGUGAGUAACCUGCCCUAGAGUGGGGGACAACAGUUGGAAACGACUGCUAAUACCGCAUAAGCCCACGGUACCGCAUGGUACUGAGGGAAAAGGAUUUAUUCGCUUUAGGAUGGACUCGCGUCCAAUUAGCUAGUUGGUGAGGUAAUGGCCCACCAAGGCGACGAUUGGUAGCCGGACUGAGAGGUUGAACGGCCACAUUGGGACUGAGACACGGCCCAGACUCCUACGGGAGGCAGCAGUGGGGAAUAUUGCGCAAUGGGGGCAACCCUGACGCAGCAACGCCGCGUGAAGGAUGACGGUCUUCGGAUUGUAAACUUCUUUAAGUGUGGAAGAAAUUGACGGUACACACAGAAUAAGCCACGGCUAACUACGUG